rnacentral:rRNA from 1 species
CAACCUGCCCCCAUCAGGGGAAUAGCCCGCCGAAAGGCGGAUUAAUGCCCCAUAGGCCCAGGGCGCCGCAUGGCGCUAUGGGUAAAGCUCCGGCGGAUGGGGAUGGGGCAUGCGUGCCAUUAGCUAGUUGGGGCGGUAACGGCGCACCAAGGCGACGAUGGCUAGGGGGUCUGAGAGGAUGGUCCCCCACACUGGUACUGAGACACGGACCAGACUCCUACGGGAGGCAGCAGGUGAGGAAUAUUGGUCAAUGGGCGGAAGCCUGAACCAGCCAAUGCCGCGUGCAGGAUGACGGCCCUACGGGUUGUAAACUGCUUUUCCCCGGGAAGAAUAAGCCCCUCGUGAGGGGUGAUGCCGGUACCGGGGGAAUAAGGAUCGGCUAACUCCGUGCCAGCCGCCGC